UGCUCCCAUCAUAUUGAGAGAGGAUCAACAAAGGGGCAAUCAAGUCUUUCAAGAGUUUUGAAGUAAAAGUAACUUCUUCAAAGUGAAGAUUUCUCAUAGGUGGUCAGUGUUCAGGAUACCUCGCGGUGUCCACCUUUUCACCAGUUUGAAACAAGAUCAGAAGGAGAAGGGAUUCUGUGGUGGCUUUCAACAGGAAGGGAUUGCAAGAGCAGAAAGAUGUAUUCACCUCUACUUCUCUGACAAGGAUCCUGGUGUGGUGAAUAGGAACAAAAACCAUGUGACGGCCUGA
rnacentral:lncRNA from 1 species